rnacentral:rRNA from 1 species
GAUGAACGCUGGCGGCGUGCUUAACACAUGCAAGUCGAACGGUGAAGGCGGAGCUUGCUCUGCUUGAUCAUUGGCGAACGGGUGAGUAACACGUGAGCAAUCUGCCCCUGACUCUGGGAUAAGCGCUGGAAACGGCGUCUAAUACUGGAUACGAGCUGCGAAGGCAUCUUCAUCAGCUGGAAAGAAUUUCGGUCAGGGAUGAGCUCGCGGCCUAUCAGCUUGUUGGUGAGGUAAUGGCUCACCAAGGCUUCGACGGGUAGCCUGCCUGAGAGGGUGACCGGCCACACUGGGACUGAGACACGGCCCAGACUCCUACGGGAGGCAGCGGUGGGGAAUAUUGCACAAUGGGCGAAAGCCUGAUGCAGCAACGCCGCGUGAGGGAAGACGGCCUUCGGGUUGUAAACCUCUUUGAGGAGGGAAGAAGCGAAAGUGACGGUACCUGCAGAAAAAGCGCCGGCUAACUACGUG